UCCCAAAAUCCCCUCAAUGGCCCCAAAUGUCCCCAAAUCCUCCCAAUGUCCCCAAAUCCUCCAAAUCCUCCAAAUGUCCCCAAAUAUCCCAAAUUUCCCCAAAUCUCCCAAAUGUCCCCAAAUGUCCCCAAUCCACAAAAUGUCCCCAAAUCCCCCCAAAUCCCCCCAAAUAUCCCAAAUGUCCCAAAUCCCCCAAAUGUCCCCAAAUCCCCCCAAUGUCCCCAAAUCCCCUCAAAUGCCCCAAAUUUCCGCAAAUCCCCCAAAUGUCCAAAAUCCAUCAAAUGUCCAAAACCCAUCAAAUGUCCCCAAAUCCCCCAAAUGUCCCCAAAUGUCCCCAAAUCUCCCAAAUCCCCCAAAUGUCCAAAAUCCAUCAAAUGUCCCCAAAUCCCCCAAAUGUCCCCAAAUCCCCCAAAUGUCCCCAAAUCCCCCCAAUGUCCCCAAUCCCCCAAAUGUCCCAAAAUCCCCGAAAUCCCCCCAAAUCCCACCUUGAGCCUCUCCUGGCCCCUGACGGCCGCCUGCAGCUCCAGCUGCAGCUUCUCCAGCUCGGCCAUGCGGGAGUUGGCCAACUCCUGGUUCCCCUCCAGCUCCGCGUUCAGCAUCUCAAACUGCCGGGAAAACACCCCAAAUUCCCAAAAAAUUCCCAAAAUUCCAUAAAUCCCAACAUUCCCGAAGAAUUCCCAAAAAAAUCCCAUAAAAAACCCCCCAAAUUCCACAGAAAUUCUGUCCAAAUCCUGCCCCAAAUCUGCGUUCAGCAGCUCAAACUGCGAGAAAAACACCCCAAAAUUCCCGAAAUUCCAACAUUCCCAAAAUUCCCCAAUCUCCCCCAAAAUUCCCCAAUUUCCCCCAAAAUUCCCCAAUUUUCCCCAAAAUUCCCCAAUUUUCCUCAAAUUUCCCCCAAUAUCUCCCCAAAAAUUCCCCAAUUUCCCGCCAAAAUUCCCCCAUAUUUCCCCCCAAAUUCCCCAAUUUUCCCCGAAAUUCCCCUGAAAUUCCCCCAAAAUUCCCCUGAAUUCCCCCAAAAUUCUCCCAAAUUUCCCCAAAAUUCCCCCCACAUUCCCUGAAAUACGCCCAAAUUUUUCCCAAAAUUCCCCAAAACUCUCC
rnacentral:lncRNA from 1 species